CUACGGGACGCAGCAGUGAGGAAUAUUGCGCAAUGGGGGCAACCCUGACGCAGCGACGCCGCGUGAGUGAGGAAGGCCCUCGGGUCGUAAAGCUCUGUCAAGAGGAAAGAAGUGCAUAGUAGUUAAUACCUGCUAUGUUUGACGGUACCUCUAAAGGAAGCACCGGCUACUCCGUGCCAGCAGCCGCGGUAAUACGGAGGGUGCAAGCGUUGUUCGGAAUCACUGGGCGUAAAGGGCGCGCAGGCGGUUUGGUAAGUCAGAUGUGAAAGCCCACGGCUUAACCGUGGAAGUGCAUUUGAAACUGUCAGACUUGAGUACCAGAGGGGAAAGUGGAAUUCCCGGUGUAGAGGUGAAAUUCGUAGAUAUCGGGAGGAAUACCGGUGGCGAAGGCGACUUUCUGGCUGAGUACUGACGCUGAGGCGCGAAAGCGUGGGGAGCAAACAGGAUUAGAUACCCCCGUAGUC
rnacentral:rRNA from 1 species